GACGAACGCUGGCGGCGUGCUUAACACAUGCAAGUCGAACGGUGAAGCGCCUUCCUUUUUGGUGGGUGUGGAUGAGUGGCGAACGGGUGAGUAAAACGUUAGUAACCUGCCCCCUUCUUCUUGAUAACCGCAUGAAAGCGUGGCCAAUACGGGAUAUUCUGGGUCUUUCGCCUGUUGGGUCUGGGACAGAAUUUGUUUCGGCGGGGGAUUGGCUCGCGGCCUAUCAGCUUGUUGGUGGGGUGAUGGUCUGCCAAGGCGGUGACGGGUAGGCGGCCUGAGAGAGUGACAGGACUGAGAGGGAGUGUAACACAGCCAAAGCUCGAACGAGGGCGAGCAGUAGGGGUUAGAGAACAGUGGACGCUAGUAUGAUGCAGCGACGCCGCGUGUGGGAUGGAGGCCUUCGGGUUGUGAACCUCUUUCGCCAGUAAAGCAGGCGUGCCUUGUUUGUGGGUGCAUUGACGGUAGCUGGAUAAGAAGCUCCGGCUAGCUACGUG
rnacentral:rRNA from 1 species